AUGAGCAAUUCACUUUGUCCUCGCUACCGUGGCCUGUCGACUUAUGAAAAGGAGUACCUUGCCAUUGUGGUGGUUGUAGAGCAGUGGCGUCCUUACUUACAACAUGCAGAAUUUGUGAUUCAUACUGACCAAAAGAGUUUGGCACCUGGAAGAGCAGCGGCUGUCCACACCUUGGCAGCAAAAAUCUUUCAUAAAACUUCUGGGCCUCCAAUAUCGCAUCCAUUACAAGAAAGGCACUCAUAA
rnacentral:rRNA from 1 species